CCUACGGUGGGCAGCAGUGAGGAAUAUUGGUCAAUGGACGAGAGUCUGAACCAGCCAAGUAGCGUGAAGGAUGACUGCCCUAUGGGUUGUAAACUUCUUUUAUAAAGGAAUAAGACUAGGCACGUGUGCCUUUUUGCAUGUCCUUUAUGACUAAGGAUCGGCUCAAGCCGUGCCAGCAGCCGCGGUACUACGGAGGAUCCGAGCGUUAUCCGGAUUUAUUGGGUUUAAAGGGAGCGUAGAUGGGUUGUUAAGUCAGUUGUGAAAGUUUGCGGAUCAACCGUAAAAUUGCAAUUGAUACUGGCAGUCUUGAGUAAAGUUGAGGUAGGCGGAAUUCGUGGUGUAGCGGUGAAAUGCUUAGAUAUCACGAAGAACCCCGAUUGCGAAGGCAGCUUACUAAACUGUGACUGACAUUGAUGCUCGAAAGUGUGGGUAUCAAACAGGAUUAGAUACCCCUGUAGUC
rnacentral:rRNA from 1 species